ensembl:lncRNA
AUAUUGAUACAAAAGAACAAUACAUGCAGUUCAACUUCAUAUGCAAAACAGACUCAGCUGACUACGCAGUUAGAAAUACUGUGAAAUUACAUAUGAAAUAUACCAUAACAAAGAUCUUCACCAAGAUGGCCAGACGAGAACUCCUAAGGAAAUUCGACCCCUGGCGUCCCCUGGACUUUUGCUGGGUUGAGGACUUACCACAGCCUUCCAUCUUUCCCAACUCUAAACUCUAUCAUCGUUCUUUCUCUUCUUGCCCUUAGGAGAUAGUAGUUGAAGAUAUUUGUCCUUAUGGUACCAUGUCGUUAAUUUCCAAACUUUCGUUGAUCGUUUUCAACAUCUCAUACCUUUCCUUACCCUUCACCUGCAAGGUAUAGAUUUCCUCAUCACUACUGGUAUAAAUGGGAGAAUAAGAAUCUCUUUGAUCAACAAUCUUUUAAGGCAUCUUAAUGUAGGAAUUUGUAAAUCUAUAUAUAUCUAUCAGCUGGUAGAUUUUAGCACAGGUCUCUCAGAUGAUGUAGAAUUAGUUAACGAGUAAUGUUAUGAUGAUGCGAUGAAACACUGAUGUCCAGCCACGAGCACAGCAACCACUCCCAAAAUGUCAAUGAGCUGCACUGUUGCAGAAGUCACAUCAAAGGGUCACCCUUAGAACCAGUCGUGUGUGGUAAAUAUACGCAGAAUAUUUCUGUGACAGCAUGCACUCGUACCUUUUAGAGAUAUAAAAUAGUAGGAGCAGAAAUUUUUGGAUAAAAACACAACACACACAACGACAUAUAGACAACCAAACAGGACAACACCAAUACACAUAAACACAAACACCAUGGUUUUCAGUUUCUCUUUUUUUAUAUAUAUAUAUAUUAACACAACAGGUCCGGAUGGAAUCAUAGUUGAGAACCUAAAGAGAGGAAACAAUUAGUCAUUGUUCUUCCUUAGCAGCCAUUCCUUGGAUAUAAAAUACUGCACCUGUUGGACUAAAUCACAUUAGAAAGAGAGUUAGUAUCAGCAAGCGGCGACAGAGGCUUCACUUGUGCAAGAUGCAUCCAUCAAGUCAAGCCUGGCUCGAUUUCAACAAGAAGAGAUGUUGGAGUAGUCAACAACACCGAAUAAGGACCCUCAUACCGAGAGGACAUUGGUCCUAAGUUCCCUAUUUUCUGUAUCAUCACUUCGUCCCCCACUUGUACGUGAUUUUUAACUUUUACAUUGAAUAUAGUGUUUUUAAGAGCUCCAGCAUGUUGAGCACUGAGGGCACUGAAAUGGGCAUUCUUAAUGCGCACGUGAGUACUUUAAAGACUCCCAAACGUGUGGCUUUGCUGAUAUCUGGGGUAUCAUUGAUAGAUAAGAAAAGAUCAAUUCUUUUAUUAAUAAAAUCUACAAA